CUACUCACCACAGCUUCCUCUUUAAGGGCAUCAGACUGCCCCUGUUGGAGGCGGUCACCCCUAUGGCCAUCUGCAAGACAGUCAGAAAGAAAAAGAGAGGAAUCGUAUCUGUCAAAGACAAAACAAUUCCUUAGAAUCUACAAGUUUUUCAGAUGCAAUGACUUUGGGGGUUAUUUUCUCCCUUCUCAAAUAGUGCAAACUCUUCCUCAGAACCAUCUGCAACACCACUGAGAUUUGAAAACCAGAACACAGAAAAAAGACCAUUAAUGGGUAACAAUCAAGGACAUUCUCAAACUCACUGCACUUAUCUUCACCUCUUCAUUGGUCUCACUCCCAAGUGAAAGAUACAAACACUACAGAAGCCAGAGAACUUCUCUAAAGAAAAUCAGCUGAUUUCUCACACAAAUCUAGUGUGAUAUUCCUCCUCCAAAUUUUUUCUGGACCUUAGUGACAAACAAAUAGAAUUAAAUAAGCAGUGACCACACAACAGAACAAAUAAACAGCAGUGAAUAUUCAAAUGGAAUUAAUGAAAUCAAGCUUCUUAUCUGCUCAUGUAGCCAAAAGCGAUGAUGUUCCACUUAUUGUGAGUGACCUCGCAGUGGCUAGGGAUAGUGUUUUGCAGUGCUGCCAGUUUGAAUGUGUACCAGAGUACACUGACACUAAAAGAAAACAUAGCUCUCUGUAGAAGACAGAAGACAUAGUGUUUAUAGGAACAAAGCAAAAAUACUAACACUUGCAAGUAGUCACUGCAAAACAUUCAGUCUGGUGAUCUGUGCACAUCACUGUGACAGCAGCAAUAAAUCACAAGCUCUGCAACUGUUCAGAGGGAAGGUUUCCUGUGAACC